rnacentral:lncRNA from 1 species
AAGGGGGAUUAUCUCCGAGCAGAAUUGGCAAGGUUAAACACUAUCUAUAAAACACAUUCGGCUGUGCCAUGAAAUGAAUUACAUAAUAUAUCAGUCAUCUACCUGGCUUUCAAAAACCUGCAAAUGCAUUUCUGUUCAGUAUGGAACCUACACCUUGCUGGAUCACCAAUUGACCUAAUGGACCCCAUGUAGAAAUAUUUACCUUUGUGAAAACAGACACAGCAAAGAGCCAAAGGAAUUACUUUAUAAAGGGUAGUGUGUCUGCCACCAGCAAGGGAGCGUUUAGGACCACAUGUUUGGGGUUGAUAGUGCAAGGCUGGCCUUCACCUGCUGACCUGCCAACCCUCUCCAAAAGAAAAAGACAAAGGAUCCCAUCUCCUGUAUUUCCUGGGAGCCCAGCCCAGUGUCUGGCACAGAGAAGAUAGUCGAUGAGUAUCAAAUGUCCCAGGCAAUCCGUCUGAGGGGCCACCCGCUGCUGAAAGAUGAGCUUGUCCACCUCUGUGAGCCACAAACCAUAGAUAAAAGCCUUCUAAGCCUAACAGAAGAGCACCGUCCCUUCCUUUCUGAAUGCAAUAAUGAGAUCACUUUCUCAAGAGUAAGACCAGAGGGGAGUGAAGGUUAAACAAAUAAACCUCUUUCUCGCUGAUAUUAACUGACCCCCAUGGCUGUGCUCUGGAUAUUGUGCUAAGUCUGGGAACACUAAGUCUGUUCCUUUUUCUCUAUCUGAGCAAAAGGUAGAAGGAGUUGAGGUUGGGGUAGGAAGAGAAUUAUAAGGGUCAGGGAGAGAAGGUUAUGAGGGCAGCAGAAAGUCUCAGCGUUCAGCUAAUGUGUGUUGAAUGAACUUCAGCUUGAGAUGACACCAGACAUUAUAUAGAUCACAGGCCAAUGGCUCAAAUGCCUCCAGGUGGAAAGAAGCAAAGCUGGCCAGUGAGAUAGGUAAUGAGGGGCCGCUGCUCCCAGGAGGGCUUGUGACCUUUCUCAGAGUGGCAGCCUCUUCUCAGCUCCAGACAAUUAUUUCCAAAUAGGUGUGUGAGUCCUCUGUGUCUAGAUUUUCCUAUUUUUUUUCCCCAAGAAAAGCCAG